rnacentral:rRNA from 1 species
UACGGAAGGCAGCAGUGGGGAAUAUUGCACAAUGGGCGCAAGCCUGAUGCAGCCAUGCCGCGUGUAUGAAGAAGGGCCUUCGGGUUGUAAAGUACUUUCAGUCGUGAGGAAGGUGUUAAGGUUAAUAACCUUAGCAAUUGACGUUAGCGACAGAAGAAGCACCGGCUAACUCCGUGCCAGCAGCCGCGGUAAUACGGAGGGUGCGAGCGUUAAUCGGAAUUACUGGGCGUAAAGGGCACGCAGGCGGUUAAUUAAGUUGGAUGUGAAAUCCCCGGGCUUAACCUGGGAAUGGCAUUCAAGACUGGUUAGCUAGAGUCUUGUAGAGGGGGUAGAAUUCCGAUGUGUAGCGGUGAAAUGCGUAGAGAUGUGGAGGAAUACCGGUGGCGAAGGCGGCCCCUGGGACAAAGGACUGACGCUCAUGUGCGAAAGCGUGGGGAGCAAACAGGAUUAGAUACC